GCGUCAAAGCGUCACACUAUCACAAAAUCGGAAACAUACUACAUCACCCCCUAGCAACUCACAGAGCAACUCUAUUUAACAAUAGAAGAACUAAUGCUAAAACUAGUAAUAAGAACUGACUCUCCCCCACACACCCUUCAAUCAGAAAUAGAUAACCUACUGAAAAUUAACCGAACUACAAAAAAGAAACAAAUCAACCAACAAGCAAAAAUUCACCUUUUUUUCGUGGCACCAACACAGGAGUGUUCCAAGGAAAGAUUAAAAGCCCAACAAGGAAUUCAGCUAAUAGACUCCAACUGUUUACCAAAAACAUAGCCUUUAGCACCACAAGUAUUAAAGGUCUCGCCUGCCCAGUGAUUCUUUCAACGGCCGCGGUAUCCUAACCGUGCAAAGGUAGCGUAAUCAUUUGUCUCCUAAAUAGAGACUUGUAUGAACGGCUAACUGAGAGUCUAACUGUCUCCUAAGGCCAAUCAAUGAAACUGAUCUCCCAGUACAAAAGCUGGGAUAUACCCAUAAGACGAGAAGACCCUGUGGAGCUUAAAAUACAUACUAUCUUAACCCAUUAAAAACUACGGGAACAAAACUUUAUAACAUAGCGAUACUUUUUAGUUGGGGCGACUUUGGAAUAAAGAAAAACUUCCAUGACAAGGGGACUCCCCUACUGAGGCCUACAGGCCAAAAUAAUUUCUUUUUGACCCAGACAUCUGAUCAAC
rnacentral:rRNA from 1 species